UUUUUGUUUUUGUUUUUUUAGCAAGGUCGGUAUUUCUAACACUAUUUCUAAAGUGCUAAUGCUGUCGAGUGAAAAACUAGCUUAAAAUGCGCGCCAAUUCGGUUCAACUCGAAAUUAUUAUUAAAUGUGUCUUAUAAUUGUUAUGAAUGUAUAGUUUUCAUUUAAUGAAUAUCAUAGAAAUACUCGGAAUUAGUUGUGGUUUGAGGAAUAUAAUUCCCAUAUUUGUAUAAUGGCGGUUAAAAUCAACUAUAACUGAAUGUGCAGACAGCACAUCAUCAGAGUAUUUUUUUUAACUUAAUUAUUUCAAACAAACUCGUAGUUUAUCCAUACUUUUACUUGGUAUUCUUGCUCUUUAUGCUAUGACAGACUGCAGUAGGGUGGUUAAUUCAAUUAUUUGUACUAACUUAAGUUUAAGUGACCCAUUUUUAUUUUUUUUUUACGAAGUUGUGCCUGUCAUCAGGGAAUUGUGGGAUGCGAUGUUGCGAUUCCUGUGAUCUGCGUUUUGAUUGGUUGGAUUAGUUCCGGUUCUUGUCUUGCUGUGAUUUGUCGGAAGAAGCCUUGAGUGAUGGCAGAAACGUUUGUUCUUCGGUUUCUGGCGCUAAUGUUUGGAUAUUCAGUCAGUGAACUAACGUCAUCACCACCCAGGCAGGUGAAAGAAAUCUACGCCGGGGGAUUUGUGGUCUUCUUUUCAAUCUGAGUGACCCUUCAGGUCGUGUUCAUUUCUCCAGGACCGGUCAUGACCGUUACUGAUGGUGAGAGUGGCACAAGCUACCUGGCAUGGAGGAUUAAAAACUAUUCGGGGAUCUGAAGCAGGACGCAGAUGAGCAUCACACAGAGGUUGGAACAAACAUUGGGGAAUACCUCCAGGGGGUGGAGUCCAGGCCCUAUCCGUCUGUUCUGGCCCUUGGACAAGUGACGCAAAAUUCUUUACAAGCUUUUGCUGUGAUGGCUGGUCAGGUAUACCCUGAAGAUGCAGUGGGGCAGUUGGUGUCGGCUUCAAGACAUUUUAUGUGUUUGAUAUCAGCUACCCCAUGCAGUGUGCCUCUUCAUGGGAGUUCCUCCAGAAAGUGGUUUAUGACAUGGAGGGACCAGAAUCUAACAAAGUUAGGUUUUUAAAGACUGUCUUAAAGAAUGUGAAAGUGUUUAAAAAAA